UACGUAGGGAGCUAGCGUUGUCCGGAAUCAUUGGGCGUAAAGCGCGCGUAGGCGGCCCGGUAAGUCCGCUGUGAAAGUCAAAGGCUCAACCUUUGAAUGUCAGCGGAUACUGCCGGGCUAGAGUCCGGAAGAGGCGAGUGGAACUCCUGGUGUAGCGGUGGAAUGCGCAGAUAUCAGGAGGAACACCGGUGGCGAAGGCGGGUCUCUGGGCAGUAACUGACGCUGAGGAGCGAAAGCGUGGGGAGCGAACAGG
rnacentral:rRNA from 1 species